rnacentral:rRNA from 2 species
AUGCAAAGAACUUUGAAAAGAGAGUUAAAGAGUACCUGAAAUUGCUGAAAGGGAAGCGAAGGAAACCAGUGUUUGCCUGGUCAUAUUUCCCUGGCCGCUUGCGGCUUGGGCGCUGUGUCCGGCUUGAGUUGUGCUUGGUUGUGGCCCCUGGAAGAGCGCGGAGGGAGUUGACCUCCGUUGCUAGCAUCGGGCUUUGACUGAGCAGGACGAAAUGGUUUUCUUUACCCCGUCUUGAAACACGGACCAAGGAGUCUAACAUAUGUGCGAGUACAGGGGUGGCAAACCCCCGUGCGCAAUGAAAGUGACAGUGGUUGGAUAUUUGCACAAUCCGCCGGCCUCAAUCCCUCGGGAGAACGGUCUGAGUGUGAGCAUACAUGUUGGGACCCGAAAGAUGGUGAACUAUGCCUGAAUAGGGUGAAGCCAGGGGAAACUCUGGUGGAGGCUCGUAGCGAUUCUGACGUGCAAAUCGAUCGUCAAAUUUGGGUAUAGGGGCGAAAGACUAAUCGAACCAUCUAGUAGCUGGUUCCCUCCGAAAUUUCCCUCAGGAUAGCUGCGAUCGGAGUUCAAUUUUAUCA